rnacentral:lncRNA from 1 species
CCAGCCCGAGGAUAGAUAUAUAUUCAAUGGAGAAACAUAGACAAUAGUUUGUAGAAAAGAAGCUAACAUACGUUAAGGUGAAUAACUACUUGCCUAAGAAAUUAAAAUCCAUCAUGAAUACCAUAACUCAGAAGGAGACAGCCAAGGAACUGUGGAAUUCGUUGAAACCUCCUAGUAUCAGGGAAAAUGAACGUGUAAAAUGAGAACAAUUUCAACGUUUAAAAAGGGAUCUCGGUGAAGGAAACAAAGAGCAUCACAAGGUACUUCUCAACAGUGUCGCUUGCUCAACCGGUAUGAGAACUGUUGGAGAAGAAAUGCACGAUUCACUUAUUUUGGUGAAGAUUCUAAGACACUCUCAGAAAAGUGUACAUACAUCAUAUGUUCGACUGAAUUUUUCAAAAACAUACGGUUUUAGAUGAUGCUCUCCAAAUGUGGUACAGCCUUGAUUAUUUUUUCCUGGAUCAUUUGAAAAAGGUGGAUGAAGAUUGUCCUGGAGUCUACUUGCACUUUUUGUGUGGACGAUGUACUUCACCUUCAGUUUGAUCCCGGAAAACCUAAAAUAUAUUAACAAAGUAUUUUAUAUGCAUGGGGGAAUUCAUUAAAAAUUUAAAGAAAAUACAUUGAAAUUUUAAAAGUCAUGGUGGACAUGGGGGUAUACUGUUGUGGAUUUUAGGCUUUUCUCAGAUUGUGUUGCUACUCUUAUGGCACAUGUACACCUUACUUAACGGCAACGAUUAUUCACGUGGAGAUUCCUUUUCUUAGGUUAAAAGAUUAAUGUUGUGCCGAAAAGAGAAAACAAUGGACAAGGACAGGUUAUUCUCAAAGCUUAUUAGUUUAUUAUCUCCAAAACUCAGGAUAAUACACGUUUUUAAAGAAGAAAAAAAUCGACUAUCUAGUCUAAGAAAACCCUAAUUCUAAACCAGAUUGAUUGGGAUGUUCUUAGUCCUAAUUUGAAUUGGUUAAAUUCCUAUAAAUAAUUACACUCGGUUUACAUUAAGACACAUUUAAAGUUAUCAACCAUAAGAGCAAGUGCAACAAUGAUCCUUAGUUGGAGUCCUACAAUAUCAUCAAAUAAAUUUCAACAAAUAAAAAAUUUUAAAAUAAAAAUUAUAUACAUAAAAUUAAUAUUAAAUAUAUUUCUUUAUAACAUAUUUUAUAUUUUAAAAGUUAAUUUAAAUAUAUAAAUAUAUCCGCACAGAUGUGCGGGUUAAUAUCUAGUAUUUAUUUAAACUUGAGGGUCAGCUUCUUCAUGUGAACCCACGUGCCGGUUCCACGCAUCAGGUCUCGACCGUACUAAAAUGGAAAACUACUUAUAACGUUUGGAUCCAGUGCUUUUCCUCUCUGUCACCACAUGUCCUACGUGGCACAAACUUCUUACUUGUAACUUUGAAUGAAAACUACCAUGAAGCGAUCCCGUGCUUCCCUGCCUUUUAUUAUGUUCCCCUACAUCUCCCACGUGGCGAAUUGUAAUUGUAGGAAGGUUUACGUAGCCAGAAAUUUAGCGAUCGUACUUAUAUGUGCCUCCCGCUCAGUGCAAAGAUCGUACUCAAGAUCUCUUCUUCUUUCUCUCUACUAAAGUUCUGGAGAGAAACAUCGUUAAAGUUUGAAAAAUGAAGCUCGGAAGCAUCAUUGCAGUUCUGCUAAUGCUGGUACUCGUCUCCGGUGAGGUUUCGACUAAAUCUUCACAGGCUCCGGCACCAGAACUACCCCUCGAAGCUGCAGAUUCGCCUCCAAUCCCCGCGCCUAUGCAGGAAGUUGGAUCUCCUCUAGCCGAGUAUCCCAAUGAAUACUCCUCUCCUCCGGAAGUUGGAUCUCCUCUAGCAGAGUAUCCGAAUAAAUACUAUUAUCCUCCAUCAGAUUCAACUCCAUCGCCGGAAGCUGGGGAUUCAAACUACAUCGACAUUACUGGAGUCGAAGAGAAAAAAACCCUGGGACGCAAAGGAUAUUGGGCUUAUUAGACUUAAUAUUUGGAGUUAAUCAUAGUAGAUUGAAUAAGCUCUGAUAACGUAGGAGCCCUUACGAUUUAGUAGCUAAUUUGAAUCUUUCUAAGCUUGUUGAAAGUCCUCUAAAUAUGUAGGAGGCAGUAAUUUAUGUAAUCUACCAUUCAAGAAAUAAGAACAAAGUACCGUUCAGUCUCAUUAUUCAAUUUGUUCCAACAUAUUGAUAUCAGUCUUGUUAGCAUCUGAGUGGUUAGAUUUUGUAAAAGAGAGGGUUAGAGAAUGUUAUUAGAGGAGGAAAACAAGCUGGUGAUACUAUGGCGACUUAUGAACACUGGAGUAAGUUGGAAAACCUCCUGAGAUCCAAAAGUUAGCGAGACUUGUAGAGAAAGACUACAAUGAGCCAGCCCGAGGAUAGAUAUAUAUUCAAUGGAGAAACAUAGACAAUAGUUUGUAGAAAAGAAGCUAACAUACGUUAAGGUGAAUAACUACUUGCCUAAGAAAUUAAAAUCCAUCAUGAAUACCAUAACUCAGAAGGAGACAGCCAAGGAACUGUGGAAUUCGUUGAAACCUCCUAGUAUCAGGGAAAAUGAACGUGUAAAAUGAGAACAAUUUCAACGUUUAAAAAGGGAUCUCGGUGAAGGAAACAAAGAGCAUCACAAGGUACUUCUCAACAGUGUCGCUUGCUCAACCGGUAUGAGAACUGUUGGAGAAGAAAUGCACGAUUCACUUAUUUUGGUGAAGAUUCUAAGACACUCUCAGAAAAGUGUACAUACAUCAUAUGUUCGACUGAAUUUUUCAAAAACAUACGGUUUUAGAUGAUGCUCUCCAAAUGUGGUACAGCCUUGAUUAUUUUUUCCUGGAUCAUUUGAAAAAGGUGGAUGAAGAUUGUCCUGGAGUCUACUUGCACUUUUUGUGUGGACGAUGUACUUCACCUUCAGUUUGAUCCCGGAAAACCUAAAAUAUAUUAACAAAGUAUUUUAUAUGCAUGGGGGAAUUCAUUAAAAAUUUAAAGAAAAUACAUUGAAAUUUUAAAAGUCAUGGUGGACAUGGGGGUAUACUGUUGUGGAUUUUAGGCUUUUCUCAGAUUGUGUUGCUACUCUUAUGGCACAUGUACACCUUACUUAACGGCAACGAUUAUUCACGUGGAGAUUCCUUUUCUUAGGUUAAAAGAUUAAUGUUGUGCCGAAAAGAGAAAACAAUGGACAAGGACAGGUUAUUCUCAAAGCUUAUUAGUUUAUUAUCUCCAAAACUCAGGAUAAUACACGUUUUUAAAGAAGAAAAAAAUCGACUAUCUAGUCUAAGAAAACCCUAAUUCUAAACCAGAUUGAUUGGGAUGUUCUUAGUCCUAAUUUGAAUUGGUUAAAUUCCUAUAAAUAAUUACACUCGGUUUACAUUAAGACACAUUUAAAGUUAUCAACCAUAAGAGCAAGUGCAACAAUGAUCCUUAGUUGGAGUCCUUAAAAAACAAAUUAUUAUAAAAUUAUAUGGGACCCAUGAUUUUUAGGUUUCUGUGCAAGUUGGUGCCCUUAGAGCAUGAUUAUCCAUAGAAACCCAUUUGUGUUUCUUAAGGAUUAUUUAAGUAUAUAAAUGUACUUUAGUGGACUUAAGAACUUUACUUAAGAAACUAUUCAAUUUUGUGCCUCCAAUGGUAGUUUCUUAAUUAAAGAUCCUUAAAAAAAAAUCCUAAUCACAACCUAACUCAAACAAACAUAUUCAAACCAAGCAAACAAUCCUAUCCUAACAUUUUGACAUGAAUAUAACAUAUUUAUUACCAAGCAAACAAUCCUAACCACAACCUAACUUAAACGUGUUUUCCCUAACCACAAACUAACUCAAACAAACAAGUUUUGGUCGAUUACCUCAACUCUCAAACUUGGUUUAGUCACUGUUGGAGAUCAUAGUCUGCUACCACGCCUUCCCUGCUGUCUUGAUUGCCAAAGCCUCCUCCUCUCAGAUUAACAUGUUCAAACAACAGUUAAAAAUAAACACUUUACACAAACCACACUCAAGAAGAACUCUAACAUAUUCAUUCUAAUUUUGUGACUAUAUACCAAAAAGACAACAUUUGAGAUCACUUCAAAAGGAUGCAACUUGCUUGCAAAUUCAGAAAACGCAUGCUUCCAAGUCUCAAAAUGCAAUACCUUUUUAGUCUUUGGCUAUGGCUUUGCCGUGUUUAAAGUCCUGAACCGAUCUCUACUGUUCGGAAUAAGAGCUAGAGCCAGCUGAUUCUCCUAGACCAGAGACGAAGCAAUAGAUUAGAAUACAGUUAAGAAAGCCAUGUAAGAAGUUAUCAGUCAUCAAAGUACCUGCAUUAUCCUCUAAAGGCCAUAUGUGCUUGGUCAGAUGUUUAUUCAUUUGAAACAUGUUGAUGGACUCUAGAGGGAACAGAGAUCGCAAUGAUUCUUGCUAAAUGCCGAAAACUAUCACUGGCAAUGGACAUCGUUCUUCUCAGUUGCUUCGACUGCGGUUUAUGUCUACUUAUACUCGAUCUAUUACUAUUACUAUUACGUAAAGACAAAGAUGUUUGGGUUUUUCCAGAAAAUCCAAUAUCUAAAUUGAUUAAAGUAGAAUCUGCUCUCUAGCCCAGAAAAUCCAAUAUCUAAAUUGAUUGAAAAAACGAACCACGAGCCAAACUCAAUCGGCUUCACCACACUAAAGCCCACCAUUGGAGAGAACGAGCUUUCUCGAUCUGAAACUCAGCCACGACGGAGAUGACGACCGGAGUUGCAGAGGGCGAGUCCGGUGCUACUGGCUUGAAAACGAACUCAAUCACCACCACGAGCCAAGCCUGAGUCGACAAGGAUGAAGAAGACCCAAGGCAGAGGUGAGACGCGACGGCGUGGAGGAGACGGAGAAACAAAGCAAAGAAAGAAAAGAAAAUUAAAAAA